GUCAACGGUCAUACCACGUUGAAAAUACCAGUUCUCGUCCGAUCACUGAAGUCAAGCAACGUUGGGCACGGUUAGUACUUGGAUGGGUGACCGCUUAGGAAUACCAUGUACUGUUGACA
rnacentral:rRNA from 1 species